UACGGAGGGAGCUAGCGUUGUUCGGAAUUACUGGGCGUAAAGCGCGUGCAGGCGGCUUGGUAAGUCGGGUGUGAAAUCCCGGGGCUCAACCCCGGAACUGCACCCGAUACUGCCUCGCUCGAGUCCCGGAGAGGAUGGCGGAAUUUCCGGUGUAGAGGUGAAAUUCGUAGAUAUCGGGAGGAACACCAAUGGCGAAGGCAGCUCGCUGGGACGGUACUGACGCUGAGGCGCGAAAGCGUGGGGGAGCGAACAGG
rnacentral:rRNA from 1 species